UGACAUCAGAAGGAAAAGGAGCACCAGCCAAUCACAACGAGGCGAACGGGACGAAGGCGAAACCGAAAAAAAAUACGCGCGCUGUCUUUUCGAGAUGGAACACUUUGUUUGAGGACCGGCUGACUCGGGCUUUAAUUUACUUUAUUUUCCUUCUUUCUCCCAAAAAAUGGCGUCGAACAGCACAGCGGAGGCGCCCAUUGUGGUGGAGAGUGAAGACGACGGAGAGUCCGGAGCAGAGAGUUUCCUCACAGAUGAAGAGAUGGCUUAUCAGGAGGGAAUCGAUCCGGCUGAGGAUCUGAUUGACGACGAGCAAGAGGACGCCGAGGAGCCGAGCAACUCUGCUGCAGGAAACGCUUGCACAGAAGAAGAGCCGCCCAGAGAGCGAUCUCCUUCCCCGCCACAUAUGAAGAGUUCACGGGGCUCCAGGUCCAGGAGUGCACGAGAAGGAUCAACACUCCAGACCAGAUCCAGAUCUCCACCUCAGGCACCCUCGACCGCGGCCUGGAAAACCGAUACAGAUCUGGAUUCGUGUCCGGUGCCGAGAAGAUUCAUCCCAGCGAGACCGCCGGGACAUCAGCUGAACUCCAACACCACGUACACACCGCUGGACCUCUUCAAACUGUUUUUCAGCAACGACGCGGUUCAAACUCUUUGUCAAAACACGAACAAACAAGCGGCCAAAAACAUCGAAAAGGGCAAAAAAUAUUCAUGGACCGACCUCGACACCCAGGAGUUCUUCAAGUACGUGGGGCUGACUUUCUUCUUCGCGCUGGUGAAGCUGGAUAACAUCCAGGACUACUGGAAGAAGAGAAGCAUCUUCAGCGUGCCGUUCCCGGCCAACGUGAUGCCGCGGGACCGGUACCGGGUGAUCUCGUGGAACAUCCACAUGAGCGACCCCGAGAGGGACGCGGAGAACGACAGAAGGAAGGGGUCGCCGGAUCACGACCGCCUGUUCCGACUGAAGCCCCUUCUGGACUCGAUCAAAGACGCCUGCAAGUCUUUUUACCACCCGAGGCAGAACCUGUCGGUAGACGAGAGGAUGGUGCCGACGAACGCACGCGCCGCGAUGCUGCAGCACAUGAAGGGGAAGCCGACGAAGUGGGGCUUCAAACUCUUCGCUUUGGCCGACGGCAGCAACGGCUACACCUGGGAUUUUACCGUGUACACGGGGAAGUCGCAGUUCCCCUCGGGCGUUGGACUUGCGUACGACUCCGUCAUGUCCCUGGUGAAGACGGCGUACCUGGGCAGUGGCUUUCAUUUGUACGUGGACCAUUUCUACACCAGCCCGAAGCUCUUCAAGGAUCUGUUCAGCCUGAAUAUCGGAGCGUGCGGCACGUAUAAGGAUAACAGAAGAGGGUGCCCACGCACGAACUCCAACGCUCUGAGGAAGAAGGAUCCCAGAGGCUCCAUCAGGUGGAUCCGCGACGGCCCGCUGGUUUUUGUGAAGUGGAUGGACACUCGCGAGGUCUCCGUCUGCUCCACGAUCCACCCGGCGUACUCCGGCAGCACCGUGCAGAGGAGGGUCAAGUCUCCUAACGGCGAGUGGACCGCCAAAUACAUCGCGUGCCCGACGCCGGCCGUGGAUUACAACAAGCACAUGGGCGGCGUGGACCUGUCGGACCAGCUGAUCCAGCACUACGUGCACCACAAGACCAUGCGCUGGUACCGCACGCUGUUCUUCCACUUCCUGGACAUCGCGGCCACCAACAGCUUCCUCCUCCACAAGGAGCUGUGCCGGGAGAAGCAGGAGCAGCCGAUGACCCACCGGGCCUUCCUGCAGGAGCUGACGGCCCAGCUGUGCGGCGUCACCGUGGCGGUGCCUCCGGCGCAGGCGCACAGCGGACACCUGCCCGUGCCGAUAUCCGAUCAACCCGACGCGAGCAAGAGGGCGUCGUACGGACGCAGGACGUGUCUGCACUGCAGGCAGACCAGGCAAGUGAGGCUGUCGACGCCCUGGAAGUGCAUGGAGUGUGAUGUGGCUCUGUGUGUCAUAGCAGACAGGAACUGCUUCAAGGAGUGGCACAGCUGACCAUGAACACAACAACAAACAAGACUAGGGACGUUAAAGACAUUGGUGUGAUGGACCGGUGUCGAUCCAUGACUCUGAUCCGUGAUACUAUGCAGAGGUUGAAACAGGACGGUCUGGAGGGAAGUUCAUGCAGAAGGACGACUGAUCGGGCGUUGGUGGUGUGGAUCAGAAUUAACAUGAAGAAUGAUACUGAAGCUGGUCGACG